UAAGGAAUAUUGGACAAUGGAGGCAACUCUGAUCCAGCCAUGCCGCGUGAAGGAAUAAGGCCCUAUGGGUUGUAAACUUCUUUUAGACAGGACAAAACCCCUUUACGUGUAAAGGGUUGAUGGUACUGUCAGAAUAAGCAUCGGCUAACUUCGUGCCAGCAGCCGCGGUAAUACGAAGGAUGCAAGCGUUAUCCGGAAUUAUUGGGUUAAAGGGUGCGUAGGCGGACUAAUAAGUCAGUGGUGAAAGCCUGCAGCUUAACUGCAGAAUUGCCAUUGAUACUGUUAGUCUUGAGUACAGUUGAGGUAGGCGGAAUGUGUCAUGUAGCGGUGAAAUGCUUAGAUAUGACACAGAACACCGAUUGCGAAGGCAGCUUGCUAAGCUGUAACUGACGCUGAGGCACGAAAGCGUGGGGAGCAAACA
rnacentral:rRNA from 1 species